GACGUAGGGCGCGAGCGUUGUCCGGAUUUAUUGGGCGUAAAGAGCUCGUAGGCGGCUUGUCGCGUCGUCUGUGAAAUCCCGCGGCUCAACUGCGGGCUGGCAGUCGAUACGGGCAGGCUGGAGUUCGGUAGGGGAGACUGGAAUUCCUGGUGUAGCGGUGAAAUGCGCAGAUAUCAGGAGGAACACCGGUGGCGAAGGCGGGUCUCUGGGCAGUAACUGACGCUGAGGAGCGAAAGCGUGGGGAGCGAACAGG
rnacentral:rRNA from 1 species